GUCGCCCAGCAGGCAGCCUACCGCUAUACGGCGCCGCUGCCGCAGCCGGCGUAUGCCGCCUAUACGCCGCACACGGCCACCACACCGGCCACAACCACGUACGGUCAGCGAGUGCCGACGGCAGCCUCACCGAGCAACACCAACUCGAGCAGCUCCUCGAACACGGGCUCCCAGAGCGGCACCCUAAGCACCAGCCUGAGCAACACGACGAACACCAACACGAACAUGGGUCCCAACGGCACGGUACAGAAUCAAAACCAACAGGGCGGCGAGCAGUUGUCCAAGACAAAUCUCUACAUUCGCGGUCUGCAGCAGGGCACAACCGACAAGGAUCUAGUUAAUAUGUGUGCACAAUACGGAACAAUUAUAUCAACCAAGGCUAUUUUAGAUAAAACAACAAACAAAUGUUACGGCUUCGUCGACUUCGAGCAGCCAGCCUUCGCCGAGUGCGCCGUAAAAGGAUUGCAGGGGAAGGGCGUGCAAGCUCAGAUGGCCAAAGUGGGUAUCUGGGUGCUUCAUAGGCCGGCCAUUCAACAGGAACAGGAUCCCACAAAUUUGUAUAUUGCAAAUUUGCCGCCCCACUUCAAAGAAACUGAUCUGGAGGCAAUGCUAUCGAAAUACGGACAAGUUGUUUCGACCAGAAUAUUGCGUGAUCAGCAGAUGAACUCCAAGGGCGUUGGCUUUGCCCGCAUGGAGAGUCGCGAGAAGUGCGAGCAAAUUAUUCAAAUGUUCAAUGGUAACACAAUACCGGGUGCCAAAGAUCCCCUGCUGGUUAAGUUUGCCGAUGGCGGACCGAAAAAGAAGAAUCUCUUCAAGACGCCCGAUCCGAAUGCGCGUGCGUGGCGCGACGUCUCCGCGGAGGGGAUUCCCGUGGCCUACGACCCCACAAUGCAGCAGAAUGGAGUCAGCGUGAACGUGGGCACACCCAUCGGAGUGCCCUACUCCCGCUUCAGCGCCCCCCAGGUGGGUGGCUAUCCAGUGGCCGGCUCCCAGUGGAUACCGGGUUACAUGAUGACAACUCAGGUAGAUGAUCAGACUUCGUAUUCUCCACAGUACAUGCAGAUGGCAGCUGCCCCUCAGCUGGGAGUGACCUCAUACAAACCGGAGGCGGUUAACCAGGUGCAGCCCCGUGGCAUCUCGAUGAUGGUUAGCGGCGAUACGGGCGUGCCAUACGGAACAAUGAUGCCUCAGUUGGCCACCCUGCAGAUUGGCAACUCUAACUUUUCUCCAUCGUUACAGUAUAUUAGUCCAACUUAUCCAUAUUAUGCACCACCACCAACUAUUAUACCAACAAUGCCAAUGACAGAUUCCGAACAGGCUAGCACAGCUGCAUCACCCGACGAGGCAUACACACAGUAUCCACAUCAAGCCGCUCCCAAAUAGGUCUUCGCGAGUAUAGUUACUAAACAGUCUAAUCACUGGUAACCCAUACUAGCUAUAAUAUAUUAGUACCCCAUUUGAGUACUAUAUAAAUUGGACGAGAGUGAGAGAAAGCCGGAAGCGGAGAAGCGGAAAAGCUAAGGAGGGAGGAGAAUCAACAUCAAAAGCAGAAGAUCGGAUAGAGGAGUCUACAACAACCACCACAUGAACAACAACUAGAAGAGGAAACUGCUGAAGCAACAACAUCGGCAAAAGAAACAAAAACACAGCAUGCAGAAUCUAGAGAAAAGCCAUCCCGAAAAGCCGGGAAAAUCCGGGAAAAACAGCGGAGGCAGAAAAAUAAUGUAUAAAUAAGGCGGUGAAUGCGAAAAGAAAAGCCGGUCUCCGAAGAGACGAGCGCAUAGGACGCGAGAAAAAAGUGAAGAAAAGCAAAGACUUAACUUAAAUAAUAGAGAAUAGUUAUACACUAAAUAAACAACCAGAGAUGCAAAAGCAGUGCGGCAACCAUUGCCAAAAGAAACAGCGGCAAACGAGAGAAGAGCAGUCGAAAAUAUUUACAAAAAAAGAACUGCAGGAUGCGAAGAGAAAGGAAAGUCAAAGAAAAUUCACUUGGGGGUCGUAAGAACUUGAGGAAAUCUGCUGAGAAAAAAAAACUAUCGCAGAUUAGAGUUAAGUUAAUUUUGUUAAGCGCAAAGUAAAAAACCACUGCAUGCGGGAAACCGAUGGAAAGAGCGAUGUAAAAAUAGAAGGGAAAAUACAAAGAAACUAUUUUGCUAAUUUUGAGCUAGCAAAACCUAAGCAGACAGAAAUUUGUGAAAUGAAAGAUGGAAAAAACCGAAACAGAAACAAAAAUAAAUGUGUGUGCAAUGUAUGUUAAAAACUCGUAAGGAAAAACAGAGCAAAUAAAAACGAAACAAAAUCCAUUUCGAUGACGAUAUAUAAACAAAGCAUAAAUCUUAAGUCAAACUGCAGCGGCAACAAAGAAACCCCCAGAAGAACGAAGAAAGCGCAACGAUGCGCAGAAGAAAGCAAAACUUUUUUACCUUAGAGGCAACGUUUUCUUUGUUGUGGCCUGCUAAAGAAGAUUUUUACGAUGAAACUCAGACUCUACCUAUGUUUUGUUCUGUUUGUCUAAUUUGUAAUAUUUAUUUUGUAUUUUUGUUGAAUCGUGUUGAACAGCACAAAGAACGGAAGCAGAGGAAAGCGUAGAUAGCCACAAAAAGAAAGGAGAUCUUUGGUUUGUUUCUCCAUUUGUUGGUUUCUUGAACCAAACAUGCAAAUUGUAUAAAGCAAAGAUCCGAAGAAAAGAAAAAACAAAAAACAAACCCUAAAAAGAAAUGUCUAUUCCCCCUCCCCCUCUCUCCAUUUGACGUUCGUUUUGUGCUAUCCAAGCAGUCAGAGAAAGAAGUAAAAAAAAUUCAAACGAAAAAAAUGAGAAGAAAAAGCCUUUGAAACGGGCAAGAACCUAGUAUUAAGUCUUAGCAAAACAAAAGUAAGAAAAUUGCAGUAAGCAAAAACAGAUUUAGUAGUUCUAGAGAUCUAAAAGAAAGCAGAAGACGGGAGAAUAAGCAUAAGCUUACAAAGACCGAGAAGAAAUGGGGAAUCUUGUACUAGUUUUUAGCAUAUUUUUUGUGCUCAUCAGUCGAUUUAAUGAAUGAAUUUUUUGUAGCUGUCUACAGUUUUUUACGUUAACUGUUUUUUAGACAUAUUAAUGAGGAAAGUAAAAACCAACAAAAACAACCUAGAUAUAGUAUAUUUUUUCUGCAUAUGACAAGUUGUUGAGGCAGGAGAAGAACGAUGUUUGAUUAGCAUGGAAACCAAGAGGCAAACACUUUUUAAAAGGGAAUAGCGAAGCAAACCGAGACAACACACAAAAGUAGCGAAACACAGAAAACAGAAAAUAAAAUUUGAAACUGUAGAAUUGUAGUUUAGCUUUGUGAAGGCUGGCGAAGAAUGUACGAUUUUUUGAAGGAUCAGCUAGGAUCGAAAAGAACAACAACAACAACAGCAGCAGCAACAACAACUGGCACAGGCAGUAGCAGAAAUGUAUAACAGAAACCAAGAAAAUUAAUGUUAAAUUAAACAAAAAAAACAAAAUGAUGAAGUAAGAUAGAAGAAACUACGUUUAGUAAACUUAGUUAAUAAGCAAAGAUUUCUUUAGUCUUGUAAGCGUCUCUUAAGUAGAGUUGAACAUGAAGUUGAGUACGGAGUUUAGAAUUGAAAUUGAACCUUUGUCAAAGCCUAGCAUAUUUAUUUUUCCGAGACACACACACACACACACACUGACACACAAACACAGCAAGACACCAACACCGACGCACCUAUCAAGCCUAAGCAUUGUAUUUGUGAUUUUUUCGAAUGUUAAUUGAUUAACGAAACACGAUGAGCAAAAUAAGCGAAACAAGGGAAACAUCAAGUGGGCGAUGUGGGUGGGAGAAAGUGUGGCGAAGUGAGAAGUUUUUGAGAAUCUCCGUUUGAGCAAGGACACCCUCUCACCACAAACAACAUUCCUGAGCAAAGUCUUUGAUUUGAUUUUGAUAUAUAAAAAUUUGUAUGUGUUGAUACGAUUUGAUUUUCGAGUUUAGAGCUGUCGAGUCGCCUAACUGAACUAUCUACAUAUAUAUACAUUAUAUAUAUAUACAUAUAUAUAAAAACGUAAGAAACACAACGCCAAAAGUCUUCCUAAGCCUAAAACCAAAACAACAACAUAAUGCAAAUGUUUUUUUUUUUCUUAUUACGAUUAUUUGCUUUAGACUGACUACGAACUGAAACUGUAACAAUAACAACAAAUGCAGGAUUGUAAACCCAAAAACAAAAAGAAAAGAAAAUGUAACACAUACACCUAGAAUCACCUCCUGAAGUUAAUGCAGGCAUCGAAAAAGAUAUCUAUUUUCCAAGACAUUCCAAAAGCGAAAUUGUUUAAAGAGAAAUUCGUGCGAGAUGCCUGCAUUUGUUGUCCUAUUAAAGAAGAAUCACAAAUACAAGUACCACUCAUUGGGAGGAUAUUUUUGAAAGAUUUUCAAUCCUGUUUUCCUCGAAACAACUACAAACACGCCCACGCACACGCAUACACCUCCACCCUCCCAAAAAAAAACUCACACAAAGUGCAAUUUUCUUUCUGUAGUUUUCUUUGAUUUUAAUUUGUUAGCAGGAAAAGCAACUUAAGCAAAUUGAGAAAGCAUUAAGGUCUAAGUUAUUUAUAAAUCGACGAAGGAAACGAGAUGAGCUGGGGGCGUGUCUUGUCGCCCCCUCCCUAGGAAAGUGAAAAUGAAAUUUAUGUUUUAGUGAACGGUAAUGAAAUCGAGUCGAAGAAGCAGGAGAAGAAACCUAGUAUCUAAGAUCAAAGCCUAGUGCGUAAGUUUAGAAAAUCUAAGUACAGUGUUGACAAGCAAAGAAGAAAGCAGAUGCGGAAACGAGUAGCGUAGAUCGAGAAAAGAAAUGUAGCAAGAAAGACGGAGUCGAGUAGGACAUAUGAUUUCUAGUUGGUAGC
rnacentral:misc_RNA from 1 species